rnacentral:rRNA from 3 species
UGCUGGAGGUAUCAGAAGUGCGAAUGCUGACAUAAGUAACGAUAAAGCGGGUGAAAAGCCCGCUCGCCGGAAGACCAAGGGUUCCUGUCCAACGUUAAUCGGGGCAGGGUGAGUCGACCCCUAAGGCGAGGCCGAAAGGCGUAGUCGAUGGGAAACGGGUUAAUAUUCCCGUACUUGGUGUUACUGCGAAGGGGGGACGGAGAAGGCUAUGUUGGCCGGGCGACGGUUGUCCCGGUUUAAGCGUGUAGGUGUGUGUUCCAGGUAAAUCCGGUUCACUUUAACACUGAGGCGUGACGACGAGGCACUACGGUGCUGAAGCAACAAAUGCCCUGCUUCCAGGAAAAGCCUCUAAGCAUCAGGUAACACGAAAUCGUACCCCAAACCGACACAGGUGGUCAGGUAGAGAAUACCAAGGCGCUUGAGAGAACUCGGGUGAAGGAACUAGGCAAAAUGGUGCCGUAACUUCGGGAGAAGGCACGCUGACACGUAGGUGAAGUGAUUUACUCAUGGAGCUGAAGUCAGUCGAAGAUACCAGCUGGCUGCAACUGUUUAUUAAAAACACAGCACUGUGCAAACACGAAAGUGGACGUAUACGGUGUGACGCCUGCCCGGUGCCGGAAGGUUAAUUGAUGGGGUCAGCGCAAGCGAAGCUCCUGAUCGAAGCCCCGGUAAACGGCGGCCGUAACUAUAACGGUCCUAAGGUAGCGAAAUUCCUUGUCGGGUAAGUUCCGACCUGCACGAAUGGCGUAAUGAUGGCCAGGCUGUCUCCACCCGAGACUCAGUGAAAUUGAACUCGCUGUGAAGAUGCAGUGUACCCGCGGCAAGACGGAAAGACCCCGUGAACCUUUACUAUAGCUUGACACUGAACAUUGAGCCUUGAUGUGUAGGAUAGGUGGGAGGCUUUGAAGUGUGGACGCCAGUCUGCAUGGAGCCGACCUUGAAAUACCACCCUUUAAUGUUUGAUGUUCUAACGUGGACCCGUAAUCCGGGUUGCGGACAGUGUCUGGUGGGUAGUUUGACUGGGGCGGUCUCCUCCUAAAGAGUAACGGAGGAGCACGAAGGUUGGCUAAUCCUGGUCGGACAUCAGGAGGUUAGUGCAAUGGCAUAAGCCAGCUUGACUGCGAGCGUGACGGCGCGAGCAGGUGCGAAAGCAGGUCAUAGUGAUCCGGUGGUUCUGAAUGGAAGGGCCAUCGCUCAACGGAUAAAAGGUACUCCGGGGAUAACAGGCUGAUACCGCCCAAGAGUUCAUAUCGACGGCGGUGUUUGGCACCUCGAUGUCGGCUCAUCACAUCCUGGGGCUGAAGUAGGUCCCAAGGGUAUGGCUGUUCGCCAUUUAAAGUGGUACGCGAGCUGGGUUUAGAACGUCGUGAGACAGUUCGGUCCCUAUCUGCCGUGGGCGCUGGAGAACUGAGGGGGGCUGCUCCUAGUACGAGAGGACCGGAGUGGACGCAUCACUGGUGUUCGGGUUGUCAUGCCAAUGGCACUGCCCGGUAGCUAAAUGCGGAAGAGAUAAGUGCUGAAAGCAUCUAAGCACGAAACUUGCCCCGAGAUGAGUUCU